UACAGAGGGUGCAAGCGUUAAUCGGAAUUACUGGGCGUAAAGGGUGCGUAGGUGGUGAGAUAAGUUAGUUGUGAAAGGCCUGGGCUUAACCUAGGAAUUGCAUCUAAUACUGUCUUGCUAGAGUACUGUAGAGGAAGGUGGAAUUUCCGGUGUAGCAGUGAAAUGCGUAGAUAUCGGAAGGAACAUCAGUGGCGAAGGCGGCCUUCUGGACAGAUACUGACACUGAGGCACGAAAGCGUGGGGAGCAAACAGGAUUAGAUACCCUGGUAGUCCACGCUGUAAACGAUGAGGACUGGCUGUUGGGCGUCGUGAGACGUUUAGUAGCGAAGCUAACGCGUUAAGUUCUCCGCCUGGGGAGUACGGCCGCAAGGCUAAA
rnacentral:rRNA from 1 species